UUUUAAUAUGGCAGACUAGUGCUAUAGAUCUAAAAUCUAUCUAAAAAGAAUUUCUU
rnacentral:tRNA from 1 species